UACAGAGGGGGCGAGCGUUGUUCGGAAUUACUGGGCGUAAAGGGCGCGUAGGCGGCCCGCUAAGUCGAACGUGAAAUCCCCAGGCUCAACCUGGGAACUGCGUCUGAUACUGGAUGGCUUGAAUUCGGGAGAGGGAUGCAGAAUUCCAGGUGUAGCGGUGAAAUGCGUAGAUAUCUGGAGGAAUACCGGUGGCGAAGGCGGCAUCCUGGACCGAUAUUGACGCUGAGGCGCGAGAGCGUGGGGAGCAAACAGG
rnacentral:rRNA from 1 species